rnacentral:lncRNA from 1 species
GGAUGAUAUGGGAUGAAGUGAGCACGUGACAGCAUCACAAUGCAAAGGCCACCACCGUGUGUAAGGGACCUCAGCGAGCGUGGCUGUGGGGUUCCUUCAACAAUGUGGCUCCUGAGUGACUAAAGGCUGUGCCCGGCAGAGGAACGUUCAUUUUGAAAUUUUUCAUUGACUGUUUUCAGACUGUGGAUGACCACAGGAACUGAAAUCACAGAAAGUUUGUAAAAUCACACAUUUUCAGCUAAAUGAAACCCCAGCAAGAAGAGGGAAGCAAGGCCACGAAAGUGCGAAUGAGAAGCCAGAGCUCUGCCUUGUGGAGAGGAAGGCUCCUCCUGCAGAGCAAAAUUCCUUUCAAAGGCUAAGACCACACAGCAUCUCCAGGCAUACAGAAAGCACCAGCGCUGUGAGACAAAGACGGGGGCUAUGUGGACGCUUUGAAUUAAAGACUAAGAUGGUGAAAAAUAGUUGUUGCACAAGGAGAACUGAAGGGAUUACGAUUGAAUUUGCAUAAAAGCAAAGACACAGAAAACACUGCAGAGUCUCCAAAGGUCUACCUAACCUCGCAAGCACCAUGGAGCUGCCCUUGGACCAUGCACCAAGCAGACUCAGUGCAUGUGUUUGUGACAGCACUGCUAACAAAACCAACACCCAAAAAGAUACCCUGGAAAUAACCGCUGUGGCAUUCAUUCUGGCUUUAUCUAGUCCAAAAAGCUAAGGUGUCUGUGUAGUAGAAUGCUUUGUAGCUUAUGUAUUUUGCAGAAUCAUCCCAAUAAAUGCAGGUAGUAGGGAAUCUCUUCCUGUUUAAAAAUAAUAAAACUGAACUCAGGUAAGUUUAGUAAUUCAUAUGAUGUCAUGCAGUUG